UAACGGCGAGUGAAGCGGUAAAAGCUCAAAUUUGAAAUCUGGUACUUUCAGUGCCCGAGUUGUAAUUUGUAGAAUUUGUCUUUGAUUAGGUCCUUGUCUAUGUUCCUUGGAACAGGACGUCAUAGAGGGUGAGAAUCCCGUUUGGCGAGGAUACCUUUUCUCUGUAAGACUUUUUCGAAGAGUCGAGUUGUUUGGGAAUGCAGCUCAAAGUGGGUGGUAAAUUCCAUCUAAAGCUAAAUAUUGGCGAGAGACCGAUAGCGAACAAGUACAGUGAUGGAAAGAUGAAAAGAACUUUGAAAAGAGAGUGAAAAAGUACGUGAAAUUGUUGAAAGGGAAGGGCAUUUGAUCAGACAUGGUGUUUUUUGCAUGCACUCGCCUCUCGUGGGCUUGGGCCUCUCAAAAAUUUCACUGGGCCAACAUCAAUUCUGGCAGCAGGAUAAAUCAUUAAGAAUGUAGCUACUUUGGUAGUGUUAUAGCUUUUUGGAAUACUGUUAGCCGGGAUUGAGGACUGCGCUUCGGCAAGGAUGUUGGCAUAAUGGUUAAAUGCCGCCCGUCUUGAAACACGGAC
rnacentral:rRNA from 1 species